UAAGGUUCUUAUAGUUGAAGUACAACGGUGAUUUUUCAUGUCACUGGUCAUGGGUAGUAACCAUGUAGGAAUA
rnacentral:tRNA from 1 species